UUCUCCUCCUUAGCUUUAAUAACUGGCUUUUCCCCAAAAUGAAUGAGCACUAGCUCAGCUUCUCUAUUUGCAUUCAUCUUUUACUGUACAUUUGGAUUUGUCACUGUUGGAGUAAACAAAGCUGCAUGAAUUAAGGCCCAUGACCCUUCACUGUGCACUGAAAGUGGAGCAUAAAUAGGCUUACCUCGCUUGUGAGCUACAUCCAGUGAUACAACUUGACUGCAGAUGGAAAUCUGUCAUCUAAGAGGAAAGCAAGAAAACCAUGAAAACACCAUCCUCAGAACCAUGAAAAAAAGAUAGAAAGUCAUUCAUAGUGAGCUGGACUGGAAACUUGGACUGUGAAAACAUCCUUAAUUCAACUCCAAAGAACAGUUUGGCACAUACCAGGUUUGUGCUUGAUAGAGCUCCUGCUUAUUCCAUGUACAUGUACAGAGAGCAAACUAGUCCCAGUGCUCUAGUAUUACAUUUCUUUUGUAACAAGAUAUUUUUUCCCCUGAAGUUAUAAUUAAAGCACUUUUGUGGUG